rnacentral:rRNA from 1 species
GAUGAACGCUGGCGGCGUGCCUAAUACAUGCAAGUCGAGCGAACAGACGAGGAGCUUGCUCCUCUGACGUUAGCGGCGGACGGGUGAGUAACACGUGGAUAACCUACCUAUAAGACUGGGAUAACUUCGGGAAACCGGAGCUAAUACCACAUAACAUGUUGAACCGCAUGGUUCAACAGUGAAAGACGGUCUUGCUGUCACUUAUAGAUGGAUCCGCGCCGCAUUAGCUAGUUGGUAAGGUACCGGCUUACCAAGGCAACGAUGCGUAGCCGACCUGAGAGGAUGAUCAGCCACACUGGAACUGAGACACGGUCCAGACUCCUACGGGAGGCAGCAGUGGGGAAUCUUAAGCAAUGGGCGAAAGCCUGACGGAGCAACGCCGCGUGAGUGAAGAAGGUCUUCGGAUCGUAAAGCGCUGUUAUUAGGGAAGAAAAAAUGAAUAAGUAAAAAGGCACGUCUUGACGGUACCUAAUCAGAAAGCCACGGCUAACUACGUG